GACGAACGCUGGCGGCGUGCUUAACACAUGCAAGUCGAACGGUGAUGGGUGGAGCUUGCUCUGCUCUGAUCAGUGGCGAACGGGUGAGUAACACGUCCGUAACCUGCCCCAGACUCUGGAAUAACCCCGGGAAACCGGUGCUAAUACCGGAUAUGACACAGAAUCGCAUGGUUUCUGUGUGGAAAGCUUUUGUGGUUUUGGAUGGACUCGCGGCCUAUCAGCUUGUUGGUGGGGUAGUGGCCUACCAAGGCGACGACGGGUAGCCGGCCUGAGAGGGUGACCGACCACACUGGGACUGAGACACGGCCCAGACUCCUACGGGAGGCAGCAGUGGGGAAUAUUGCACAAUGGGCGCAAGCCGGAUGCAGCGACGCCGCGUGAGGGAUGACGGCCUUCGGGUUGUAAACCUCUUUCAGUAGGGAAGAAGCGUAAGUGACGGUACCUGCAGAAGAAGCGCCGGCUAACUACGUGCCAGCCGCCGCCGUAAUAC
rnacentral:rRNA from 1 species